GUAGAUAGACUGGACUACCAGACAUACUGGUAGCAUAGCUGGUCAAAGCUACAUACGGAGAAAGGAGAGAGAGUUAGAGGCCUAUAGACUGCAGGUACACUGGACUACCAGACAUACUGGUAGCAUAGCUGGUCAAAGCUACAUACGGAGAAAGGAGAGAGAGUUAGAGGCCUAUAGACUGCAGGUAGACUGGACUACCAGACAUACUGGUAGCAUAGCUGGUCAAAGCUACAUACGGAGAAAGGAGAGAGAGUUAGAGGCCUAUAGACUGCAGGUACACUGGAAUACCAGACAUACUGGUAGCAUAGCUGGUCAAAGCUACAUACGGAGAAAGGAGAGAGAGUUAGAGGCCUAUAGACUGCAGGUAGACUGGACUACCAGACAUACUGGUAGCAUAGCUGGUCAAAGCUACAUACGG